rnacentral:tRNA from 2 species
GGAGACGUCGCAUAGCCCGGUCGAGUGCGCCUCACUGCUAACGAGGUAAGGUGUUAAAGCCUUCAGGAGUUCAAAUCUCCUCGUCUCCGCCA